rnacentral:rRNA from 1 species
UGAGGAAUAUUGGUCAAUGGGCGGAAGCCUGAACCAGCCAAGUAGCGUGCAGGAUGACGGCCCUAUGGGUUGUAAACUGCUUUUAUGCGGGAAUAAUGUCAGACACGUGUGUCUGCUUGCAUGUACCGCAUGAAUAAGGACCGGCUAAUUCCGUGCCAGCAGCCGCGGUAAUACGGAAGGUUCGGGCGUUAUCCGGAUUUAUGGGUUUAAAGGGAGCGUAGGCCGCUGUUCAAGCGUGUCGUGAAAUGCGGUUGCUCAACAAUCGCACUGCGGCGCGAACUGUCCGGCUUGAGUCAAGUGGAAGUAGCGGAAUUCGUGGUGUAGCGGGUGAAAUGCUUAGAUAUCAC